GCUGGGGAUGCACUAGCCGGAAACCACCUAGAUACUGGGGGUCCAGUCCAGGAGGACACAGACAUGCAGGUUCAAGAUGGCUGACUCCUGGUUAUAAGAGCAGUAGGCCUGACCUGAGUCUAGAUGCAGAAUAUUUCCAGGGUAUCUGAGCAUACUGAAACAUUACAAAAAGGUCAAUAAGUGUUGCACAGCAUCCAAACUGGAAAAAGUUCAGCAACAAGAAGGCAGUGAAAGAUAAAGAAGGUGCCACCAAGAAAAAUGUGCCAGUGAUUUCCCCUAAGAUGUUCUUGUCUCAAAGAAGCAGUCCCAGGGGAAUGGAUUUGUAUACACGUUCCAGUAACAACCCCCUCUCCUUGGUCAUUAAUGCAUUUUGGUAGAAAUAAUGGCUACCAAAAAAAAAAAA